GUGGAGACAAAACAAAGCAAGUGGAAGUACUGUGAGUUGGAGAUGAAACAAUUUAAGACAACAUACUGUGUUUUCCAACAACAGCUCAGCCUUGACACACGUACUGUCCCCUCCAAAAGUAUUGGAACGGUAUUUUAAGUCACCUGUUGUCCAGACCUCGUCAGCUGAAUAGCCUGUCGUGCUAAAGGUUCACCACAGAGAAGGCAGUGCUUAACGCUGAGUGGGCCUAAACAUCUGAUCCAUAAAUGAGGUGGAGUCAGAGCUGGGUUGACUACUUACUGCAUUGUGAGGUGGAUGGGCCUCUGUGAAUAUGGCUGCCAAGGUCUGCUAAGGGUGGCUGCGCACCAGUGAGUGGUGUCAAGGCACCUGGGUGGCAGGUCUGGCCCUUGUACAUGCAGAGGUGUUUAACGUGUCCUUUUAUCCCUUGGCGUCUACAUCUUAUUUGUUUUUAUUGUUGUGCUUGUGCAGUGAAUAAAAUUGCCCAAAGCCUGAUUUUU